rnacentral:rRNA from 1 species
AUUGAACGCUGGCGGCAGGCCUAACACAUGCAAGUCGAACGGUAACAGGAAGCAGCUUGCUGCUUUGCUGACGAGUGGCGGACGGGUGAGUAAUGUCUGGGAAACUGCCUGAUGGAGGGGGAUAACUACUGGAAACGGUAGCUAAUACCGCAUAACGUCGCAAGACCAAGAGGGGGACCUUAGGGCCUCCUGCCAUCGGAUGUGCCCAGAUGGGAUUAGCUAGUAGGUGGGGUAACGGCUCACCUAGGCGACGAACCCUAGCUGGUCUGAGAGGAUGACCAGCCACACUGGAACUGAGACACGGUCCAGACUCCUACGGGAGGCAGCAGUGGGGAAUAUUGCACAAUGGGCGCAAGCCUGAUGCAGCCAUGCCGCGUGUAUGAAGAAGGCCUUCGGGUUGUAAAGUACUUUCAGCGGGGAGGAAGGGAGUAAAGUUAAUACCUUUGCUCAUUGACGUUACCCGCAGAAGAAGCACCGGCUAACUCCGUG